AAAAUUAGAGUGAAAGCUCAUUGUGUCCCAGGUUGCCCCUGGGAGUUCUUUGCCUCAAAGGACAGCAGAACAAAGUGCAUAAUGCUGAAAAAAUACAUAGAUGAGCACACUUGCAGUAGGGAGUGGGAGGUGAAGCAAUUCACUGCUAGUUACAUAGCAAAGAAGUAUGUUAAGAAGGUGAGGACAGAUGAAUCAAUUUCAUUGAGAACCCUGGGAAGUAAUGUGCAAGAGGAUUACAAUAUGGCAGCCACCAAGAGCAAGCUUGCUAGAGCAAAGAGAGAAGCAAUCAGAAAGAUUAGAGGAGAUGAGCAAAAACAGUACAAUAUGUUGUGGGAUUUUGCAGAAGAGCUGAGAACACAAAAUCCUGGUAGCACAUUCUAUUUGAAACUGAAAAAUGGUGUUCUUUUUGACAAAUUGUACAUGUCUAUAGAUGCAUGUAAGAGGGGUUUUCUGCAAGGAUGUAGGCCAGUAAUUUGUCUGGAUGGUUGCCACCUU
rnacentral:rRNA from 1 species